rnacentral:rRNA from 1 species
AUGCAAGUCGAGCGAACAGAUAAGGAGCUUGCUCCUUUGACGUUAGCGGCGGACGGGUGAGUAACACGUGGAUAACCUACCUAUAAGACUGGGAUAACUUCGGGAAACCGGAGCUAAUACCGGAUAACAUAUUGAACCGCAUGGUUCAAUAGUGAAAGGCGGCUUUGCUGUCACUUAUAGAUGGAUCCGCGCCGUAUUAGCUAGUUGGUAAGGUGACGGCUUACCAAGGCAACGAUACGGUGCCGACCUGAUAGGGUGAUCGGUCACACUGGAACUGAGACACCCGUCCAGACUCCUACGGGAGGCCAGCAGUAGGGAAUCUUCCCCACUGGGCGAAAGCCUGACGGAGCAACGCCUGGUGAGUGAUGAAGGUUUUCGCAUCCUUAAACUCUGUUAUCCGGGAAAGAACAAAUGUGUAAGUAACUGUGCACAUCUUGACAGUACCUGAUCAGAAUUCCACGGCUAACUACGUGCCAGCAGCCGCGGUAAUACGUAGGUGGCAAGCGUUAUCCGGAAUUAUUGGGCGUAAAGCGCGCGUAGGCGGUUUUUUAAGUCUGAUGUGAAAGCCCACGGCUCAACCGUGGAGGGUCAUUGGAAACUGGAAAACUUGAGUGCAGAAGAGGAAAGUGGAAUUCCAUGUGUAGCGGUGAAAUGCGCAGAGAUAUGGAGGAACACCAGUGGCGAAGGCGACUUUCUGGUCUGUAACUGACGCUGAUGUGCGAAAGCGUGGGGAUCAAACAGGAUUAGAUACCCUGUUAGUCCACGCCGUAAACGAUGAGUGCUAAGUGUUAGGGGGUUUCCGCCCCUUAGUGCUGCAGCUAACGCAUUAAGCACUCCGCCUGGGGAGUACGACCGCAAGGUUGAAACUCAAAGGAAUUGACGGGGACCCGCACAAGCGGUGGAGCAUGUGGUUUAAUUCGAAGCAACGCGAAGAACCUUACCAAAUCUUGACAUCCUUUGACCGCUCUAGAGAUAGAGUCUUCCCCUUCGGGGGACAAAGUGACAGGUGGUGCAUGGUUGUCGUCAGCUCGUGUCGUGAGAUGUUGGGUUAAGUCCCGCAACGAGCGCAACCCUUAAGCUUAGUUGCCAUCAUUAAGUUGGGCACUUUAAGUUGACUGCCGGUGACAAACCGGAGGAAGGUGGGGAUGACGUCAAAUCAUCAUGCCCCUUAUGAUUUGGGCUACACACGUGCUACAAUGGACAAUACAAAGGGCAGCUAAACCGCGAGGUCAAGCAAAUCCCAUAAAGUUGUUCUCAGUUCGGAUUGUAGUCUGCAACUCGACUACAUGAAGCUGGAAUCGCUAGUAAUCGUAGAUCAGCAUGCUACGGUGAAUACGUUCCCGGGUCUUGUACACACCGCCCGUCACACCACGAGAGUUUGUAACACCCGAAGCCGGUGGAGUAACCAU